UCAAUCCAUUCUGAAUAUUUUCCAUGAGCUCACUGAAGAUCCGGCACUUAGCUAAAAAUACAUUUAUUUUUCCAAUCUUCACGAAUACAAAGUGUCUCCACACUUAGAAAAAUACUCUCUUUGUAGAAUAAAACCUCGCUCGUUCUAUUUUCUUCAAAAUUAAAAAUAUUCUGCGAGCGGGUCGUUACAGCUAUCCUACGGAAUUUCUUUUGUUUUAAAGUUAAUUUUUUUUUUGAGAUUUUUAAAAACAAAAAUGGUAUGUUGACAAACAAAAAUAAUAAUGAAGCCAAGUUAAAAAAAAAAUCAAUUAAAAGAAGAGAUUUAAUGUAAAAACAGUUUUUUUUAAAACAUUAUUUAGCAAACCUAAUUUAUGUUAAUAAAUCGAAGCCCAUAUUUUUUCCGAAAAAAAAACAGAAACUCUUUUCGCACUACCAACUUUUCUAGUUCCAUCGAAAGUUCUAUAUUCUUAUAUGUUUCUCUGCAGCCGACGGAUGCCUUGCGCUUGCUUUCUAAACAAUCGAGGGAAAAUAAGUUAAUGUCUUCAGUCUAACAACUGCAGAAGAUGGAUCUAUUGUUAAUUUCAGCGUUUGGCAUAAAGAGACCAGCUAAGGUAUGGAAUACCAAGACCCUUCAAUCGGAUAGACAGAGCCCGGCUUCAGUUUUAAAAACAGGGGAAAAACCCUUGCAAGCCUUUGAUCGGUAAAGGAACAGGGUGGAAUGAGUAACAAAUUGGAUUGAUUGUAGAAGGUCUUAAUAAAUGAGAAGCUAAUAGACGAUUUUUCAUAAGAGAAGUCGGAUUGACUUGAUUGUCUCAGCACUAUUUAAGUGCUAGGUUGAUAAAUAUUAUUGUUCAGAGCAUAUAUGAUAUUGCUGUUUCAGCUCUGUUUAAAUGGUAGAUUUAUAAAUAUUAUUUUUCAGAGGA